CUGAAACAAGCCUAAGGAUAUGGAUGUAAAAGAUUGGAAGUAUUUGGUUAAUCUUUGGACAGAAAAUGCAUUUCAGGAGAGAAGCAACAAAAAUAAGACAAAUAGAUGCAAGCGUUCUAUGCCGCCAUACACGGGGACAAAAAGCUUUGCUCGGCUGAGAGAUCAUAUG